AUCUAGCUGAGGAUUCCCAAAUAGGACGAAACGUGAGUCUUAGAU
rfam:Schistosoma rodhaini strain Burundi genome assembly, scaffold: SROB_scaffold0007055